CAGAUAGGUACUUGUACGCCUAGGGAAAGACGCUGCUAGGUGCUGCUGCUAAAUCCCUGUGGUUUCUGCCGGCUCACGUAGGUUCGUUCGCGUGGUCUUGUUACGCCUCGCUGGAUCGUGUUCAGUCAUGCCGUCCUUGCGCGGCGUCAUUGUCGGCGAGUCAGGUUAAAUUCUUUAAUAGGUCGCGCCUGCGCCUAAUUGAGUCUAUUAAAGACUGCACAUUCAGUUUUGCUGGCUACAGUUCAGUGUGGCUGGCGUGGGCUGUCUCCACGAUGCGCUUCGAGCGUGUCGAUUUCGCCGUUCUUUAUAUUGGCGGAAAUGACCGUGAAAGCAACAUGGAUCUACAAGAAAUAUGCAACAACAUCAAGGCCUUGAUUGUUCAGCGAGACGGCGCCCGUCGUGCUGGUUUUCAAGGUGCUCUCUCGCUGGCUAGAAGAUGCUGAUGCGGAACAGAAAAUGCAAAAACGUCGCUUGCUCAACCGCAAAUUGACGGCUACGCUGAAGCGCAUGCCGUGUCUGCGGAAUUUGAACCCCGAGGCACGUUCACACUGAAGACGGAGCGGCUAAACCGGGCAAAGCUCUUGGCCAGGCGGAUAAAAGCAGGCGUUAAACGAGGCAGCAAGCCCAAUCGCUCGCGGACCACUUUUUUUCCUGCCCGUCAGAGCUGUCC